rnacentral:rRNA from 1 species
UGGGCGUAAGCGCACGCAGGCGGUCUGUCUAGUCGGAUGUGAAAUCCCCGGGCUCAACCUGGGAACUGCAUUCGAAACUGGCAGGCUAGAGUCUUGUAGAGGGGGGUAGAAUUCCAGGUGUAGCGGUGAAAUGCGUAGAGAUCUGGAGGAAUACCGGUGGCGAAGGCGGCCCCCUGGACAGAGACUGACGCUCAGGUGCGAAAGCGUGGGGAGCAAACAGGAUUAGAUACCCUGGUAGUCCACGCCGUAAACGAUGUCGACUUGGAGGUUGUGCCCUUGAGGCGUGGCUUCCGGAGCUAACGCGUUAAGUCGACCGCCUGGGGAGUACGGCCGCAAGGUUAAAACUCAAAUGAAUUGACGGGGGCCCGCACAAGCGGUGGAGCAUGUGGUUUAAUUCGAUGCAACGCGAAGAACCUUACCUACUCUUGACAUCCAGAGAACUUACCAGAGAUGCUUUGGUGCCUUCGGGAACUCUGAGACAGGUGCUGCAUGGCUGUCGUCAGCUCGUGUUGUGAAAUGUUGGGUUAAGUCCCGCAACGAGCGCAACCCUUAUCCUUUGUUGCCAGCGGUUAGGCCGGGAACUCAAAGGAGACUGCCAGUGAUAAACU